rnacentral:rRNA from 1 species
CUUCCGUAGGUGAACCUGCGGAGGGAUCAUUACCGAGUUUACAACUCCCAAACCCCUGUGAACAUACCAAUUGUUGCCUCGGCGGAUCAGCCCGCUCCCGGUAAAACGGGACGGCCCGCCAGAGGACCCCUAAACUCUGUUUCUAUAUGUAACUUCUGAGUAAAACCAUAAAUAAAUCAAAACUUUCAACAACGGAUCUCUUGGUUCUGGCAUCGAUGAAGAACGCAGCAAAAUGCGAUAAGUAAUGUGAAUUGCAGAAUUCAGUGAAUCAUCGAAUCUUUGAACGCACAUUGCGCCCGCCAGUAUUCUGGCGGGCAUGCCUGUUCGAGCGUCAUUUCAACCCUCAAGCCCCCGGGUUUGGUGUUGGGGAUCGGCGAGCCCUUGCGGCAAGCCGGCCCCGAAAUCUAGUGGCGGUCUCGCUGCAGCUUCCAUUGCGUAGUAGUAAAACCCUCGCAACUGGUACGCGGCGCGGCCAAGCCGUUAAACCCCCAACUUCUGAAUGUUGACCUCGGAUCAGGUAGGAAUACCCGCUGAACUUAAGCAUAUCAAUAAGCGGAGG